rnacentral:rRNA from 1 species
GUAAGGAAUAUUGGACAAUGGGCGCAAGCCUGAUCCAGCCAUUCCGCGUGCAGGAUGAAGGCCUUCGGGUUGUAAACUGCUUUUGUACGGAACGAAACGGUCCGGGUUAAUACCCUGGGCUAAUGACGGUACCGUAAGAAUAAGCACCGGCUAACUACGUGCCAGCAGCCGCGGUAAUACGUAGGGUGCAAGCGUUAAUCGGAAUUACUGGGCGUAAAGCGUGCGCAGGCGGUUUUGUAAGACAGGCGUGAAAUCCCCGGGCUCAACCUGGGAAUUGCGCUUGUGACUGCAAGGCUGGAGUGCGGCAGAGGGGGAUGGAAUUCCGCGUGUAGCAGUGAAAUGCGUAGAUAUGCGGAGGAACACCGAUGGCGAAGGCAAUCCCCUGGGCCUGAACUGACGCUCAUGCACGAAAGCGUGGGGAGCAAACAGGAUUAGAUACCCGAGUAGUCC